UUCAGAGAUAUAGGACAAAAUGAAUAAAUAAGCUGAAGAGCUGACCAGAAGAAAGGCAGCAGAGGAAAAGCAAACAUGCCUUGCUCAGCACAGAAUCACCAGUCACAAGCUACAUCAUUUCCUUAAGAACCUCUGCAGUUGAAAGAUCUCUUUGUCAAGACCCUGAACUAACAGACCCAGAGAUUACUUUAUGGCAUCUAUACUCCAGCCUUAGUCAAGAAGGCUCUCAGAACAGGUAC